rnacentral:SRP_RNA from 1 species
CAUCCGGGUAAGUCUUGCACGACCAGCUCCCUCUGAACUCCCCCAGGGCCGGAAGGCAGCAAGGGUAGGAGGUCGUAGCGGUGCGAUGC